rnacentral:lncRNA from 1 species
UCCUAAGCAUGAAGGAGGACCACAUGAGGAUCCUGGACACCUACUGCAUGAAUGUAUUCACCCUUUCAGGUCUAGGGACCUGGGUACCUUGGGACAGAGGGAGUGCAGAGCAGAGAAAACCUACCUGUGCAACUGAGAAGGCCGCUCAGGCCACGGGGACAGGGCAGGAAUGCUCUCAGGAGUGUCCCCUGCACCUGAACUUGAUUUCACGCCAUCACCUUCCGCCUCUUAACCAGCAUCUCCUGGACAGUCAGCCGAGUGUUUCCAUGAUACCAGCCAUACCUGAUGCCAGGAGACUCGCUACACUUGGAAGCUCUUCAAGGUUUAACAUCCUCCCAGGAUGUCAACUGGAAGAUCAUGCCGUUCCUGACAAUUAGAAGUUUAGAGAGUGAGGUGGCUGGAGAUACAGCACGUUGAUUAUCUGUGACACAAUCAGUCAGAAGCAGGACCACAUGAAUUCUCCAUCAUCAAACAAAAUGACUGGCUUUCUGUGUGAUUCUUCACACUGUGAAUGCAGCUACUAAUAACACUGAUUUUACUUCAGGCAAGAGAAACAGAGCCUCUCAUUUUCCUUUGAGAAUAAUGAUUGUUUCUUAAUACUUUUCUUUUUCCCCAUUCCUUACAGAGGAGUUCCCUGCUCAAGGGAAGCACAUGGUAGGGUUAAUGCUACAUGGAACAUGAACUUUGAAGAUCCUCAUUUUGGUUUCCAUGAAGGUGGUGAAGGUUCUCCAAAUAAAAGCAUUUCCAAUAAGGGUGAAGAGUAGAGAGCAGUGAUGUUUCCAAAAAGUUUAGAAUUCCUCCUUCAAAUGACUUCCUAAUGAAUAUCAGAAGGCAAUGUGUGGAGUCACAAGUCAUUGGAAUGGCAGCCACUGUGUAAUUUCAACAAAACGCUUCAUCCCUCUGAGCCUCUGGUGGCUCAUCUGUAAAUUAAGGCAAAUUCUAUCUUCAAAUUUCUUCACUCUUUGAUCAACAACUUUUAUUCAACUUUGUUGAAAAGAUCAAAAAAAUUGCAUCUCUGGUUGAAUUUGGUGGCUCUUUUUCUGGUUAAUAUAAAACGUGACUGUC